GCCCGAAAUACAGCGCUGGCGGCCGUG
rnacentral:sRNA from 1 species